rnacentral:rRNA from 1 species
CCUACGGGAGGCAGCAGUGGGGAAUAUUGGGCAAUGGGCGCAAGCCUGACCCAGCAAUGCCGCGUGAAGGAAGAAGGCUUUCGGGUUGUAAACUUCUUUGACAGGGGAAGAGCAGAAGACGGUACCCUGAAAACAAGCCACGGCUAACUACGUGCCAGCAGCCGCGGUAAUACGUAGGUGGCAAGCGUUGUCCGGAUUUACUGGGUGUAAAGGGCGUGUAGCCGGGAAGGCAAGUCAGAUGUGAAAUCUGGAGGCUCAACCUCCAAAUUGCAUUUGAAACUGUUUUUCUUGAGUACUGGAGAGGCAGACGGAAGUCCUGGUGUAGCGGGGAAAUGCGUAGAUAUAAGGAGGAACACGCGUGGUGAAGGCGGUCGGCUGGACAGCAACUGACGGUGAGGCGCGAAGGCGUGGGGAGCAAACAGGAUUAGAUACCCUUGUAGUC